GGAAGAGGAUCGUCCCCGGUGGGGCGCCCGGACUUCAAACCCGGUGAGGGACGCCAAGCGCUCCUAGUGGGUUCGACUCCCACUCUCUUCCG
rnacentral:tRNA from 1 species